rnacentral:rRNA from 1 species
AGUGAACGCUGGCGGUAGGCCUAACACAUGCAAGUCGAACGGCAGCACAGUAAGAGCUUGCUCUUACGGGUGGCGAGUGGCGGACGGGUGAGGAAUACAUCGGAAUCUACUUUUUCGUGGGGGAUAACGUAGGGAAACUUACGCUAAUACCGCAUACGACCUACGGGUGAAAGCAGGGGAUCUUCGGACCUUGCGCGAUUGAAUGAGCCGAUGUCGGAUUAGCUAGUUGGCGGGGUAAAGGCCCACCAAGGCGACGAUCCGUAGCUGGUCUGAGAGGAUGAUCAGCCACACUGGAACUGAGACACGGUCCAGACUCCUACGGGAGGCAGCAGUGGGGAAUAUUGGACAAUGGGCGCAAGCCUGCUCCAGCCAUACCGCGUGGGUGAAGAAGGCCUUCGGGUUGUAAAGCCCUUUUGUUGGGAAAGAAAAGCAGCAGGUUAAUACCCCGCUGUUCUGACGGUACCCAAAGAAUAAGCACCGGCGAACUUCGU